CCUACGGGUGGCAGCAGUGGGGAAUAUUGGGCAAUGGGCGCAAGCCUGACCCAGCAAAGCCGCGUGAAGGAAGAAGGCUUUCGGGUUGUAAACUUCCUUUUUCAGGGGAGAGUAGAAGACGGUACCUGACUAAUAAGCCACGGCUAACUACGUGCCAGCAGCCGAGGUAAUACGUAGGUGGCAAGCGUUGUCCGGAUUUACUGGGUGUAAAGGGCGUGUAGCCGGGUUGACAAGUCAAGUGGUAAAUCCUGCGGCUUAACCGCAGAACUGCAUUUGAAACUGUUGAUCUUGAGUACGGGAGAGGCAGACGGAAUUCGUGGUGUAGCGGUGAAAUGCUUAGAUAUUAGGAAGAACACCAGUGGCGAAGGCGGUCUGCCGGAGAGCAACUGACGGUGAGGCGCGAAAGCGUGGGGAUCGAACAGGAUUAGAUACCCUUGUAGUC
rnacentral:rRNA from 1 species